GUUACUCAGUUCAGAUUGCAGGCUGCAACCCGCCUGCAUGAAGUCGGAAUUGCUAGUAAUCGCGGAUCAGCAUGCCGCGGUGAAUACGUUCCCGGGCCUUGUACACACCGCCCGUCACACCAUGGGAGCCGGUAAUACCCGAAGUCAGUAGUCCAACCACGUGAGGACGCUGCCGAAGGUAGGAUUGGCGACUGGGGUGAAGUCGUAACAAGGUACC
rnacentral:rRNA from 1 species